GCCUGAUGCAGCAACGCCGCGUGAGGGAUGACGGCCUUCGGGUUGUAAACCUCUUUUAGUAGGGAAGAAGCGAAAGUGACGGUACCUGCAGAAAAAGCACCGGCUAACUACGUGCCAGCAGCCGCGGUAAUACGUAGGGUGCGAGCGUUGUCCGGAAUUAUUGGGCGUAAAGAGCUCGUAGGCGGUCUGUCGCGUCUGCUGUGAAAACCCGAGGCUCAACCUCGGGCCUGCAGUGGGUACGGGCAGACUAGAGUGCGGUAGGGGAGAAUGGAAUUCCUGGUGUAGCGGUGGAAUGCGCAGAUAUCAGGAGGAACACCGAUGGCGAAGGCAGUUCUCUGGGCCGUAACUGACGCUGAGGAGCGAAAGCGUGGGGAGCGAACAGGAUUAGAUACCCUGGUAGUCCACGCCGUAAACGUUGGGCGCUAGAUGUGGGGACCAUUCCACGGUUUCCGUGUCGCAGCUAACGCAUUAAGCGCCCCGCCUGGGGAGUACGGCCGCAAGGCUAAAACUCAAAGGAAUUGACGGGGGCCCGCACAAGCGGCGGAGCAUGCGGAUUAAUUCGAUGCAACGCGAAGAACCUUACCAAGGCUUGACAUACACGAGAACGGGCCAGAAAUGGUCAACUCUUUGGACACUCGUGAACAGGUGGUGCAUGGUUGUCGUCAGCUCGUGUCGUGAGAUGUUGGGUUAAGUCCCGCAACGAGCGCAACCCUCGUUCUAUGUUGCCAGCGCGUAAUGGCGGGAACUCAUAGGAGACUGCCGGGGUCAACUCGGAGGAAGGUGGGGAUGACGUCAAAUCAUCAUGCCCCUUAUGUCUUGGGCUUCACGCAUGCUACAAUGGCCGGUACAAAGGGCUGCAAUACCGUAAGGUGGAGCGAAUCCCAAAAAGCCGGUCUCAGUUCGGAUUGAGGUCUGCAACUCGAC
rnacentral:rRNA from 1 species